AGUGAACGCUGGCGGCAUGCCUUACACAUGCAAGUCGAACGGCAGCACGGGGCAACCUGGUGGCGAGUGGCGAACGGGUGAGUAAUGCAUCGGAACGUACCUUUCAGUGGGGGAUAACGUAGCGAAAGUUACGCUAAUACCGCAUAUUCUGUGAGCAGGAAAGCAGGGGAUCGCAAGACCUUGCGCUGAUUGAGCGGCCGAUGUCAGAUUAGCUAGUUGGUGAGGUAUAGGCUCACCAAGGUGACGAUCUGUAGCGGGUCUGAGAGGAUGAUCCGCCACACUGGAACUGAGACACGGUCCAGACUCCUACGGGAGGCAGCAGUGGGGAAUUUUGGACAAUGGGGCAACCCUGAUCCAGCCAUGCCGCGUGAGUGAAGAAGGCCUUCGGGUUGUAAAGCUCUUUCGGCCGGGAAGAAAUCGCACGGGCUAAUACCCUGUGUGGAUGACGGUACCGGAAUAAGAAGCACCGGCUAACUACGUGCCAGCAGCCGCGGUAA
rnacentral:rRNA from 1 species